ACGGGUGAGUAACGCGUGGAUUAUCUACCUAUUGGUACGGGACAACAGUUGGAAACGACUGCUAAUACCGUAUAAGCUGGUAACGGGAAAGGGGGCCUCUUCUUGGAAGCUCUCGCCAGUAGAUGAGUCCGCGUUUCAUUAGCUAGACGGUGGGGUAACGGCCUACCGUGGCAACGAUGAAUAGCAGGCCUGAGAGGGUGGCCUGCCACACUGGGACUGGAACACGGCCCAGACUCCUACGGGAGGCAGCAGUGGGGAAUAUUGCGCAAUGGACGAAAGUCUGACGCAGCGACGCCGCGUGGAGGAUGAAGGUUUUCGGAUCGUAAACUCCUGUCAAGAGGGAAGAAACCUAUUAAGAAUAAUACUCU
rnacentral:rRNA from 1 species